rnacentral:rRNA from 1 species
AAAACUUUUCGCUAAUAGAAGAGCCUAUGUAGGAUUAGGUAGUUGGUAUUUUGGGUAAAAGCCUACCAAGCCUAAGAUCCUUAGCUGUUCUGAGAGGUUGAACAGCCACACUGGGACUGAGACAAGGCCCAGGCUCCAUUUGGAGCCAGCAGUGAGGAAUUUUGGACAACGAGCGAAAGCUUGAUCCAGCAAUACUACAUGAGUGAAGAAGGCUUUCAAGUUGUAACACUCUUUGGUUGAGGAGGAUAAUGACAGUACUCAACAAAAUAGCCCCGGCUAACUUCGUGCCAGCAGCCGCGGUAAGACGAAGGGGGCGAGCGUUAUCCGGAAUGACUGGGCGUAAAGGGUCCGUAGGCAGCAUUUUUUGUUGGAAGUUAAAUAAAAAAGCUUAACUUUUUUCCGCUUCUAAAACGUAAAUGCUUUGAGUUUGAUAGAAGAUAGCAGAAUUUCACAAGGAGGGGUGAUAUCCAGAGAUCUGUGAAGGAAUAUCAGAUGCGAAGGCGGCUAUCUAGAUCAACACUGACGUUGAGGGACGAAAGCAUGGGGAGCAAACAGGAUUAGAUACCCUGGUAGUCCAUGCCCUAAAAGAUGAGUGUUCGUGCUUAGAGAACUUUAGGCACUUAGUUAACACGUUAAACACUCCGCCUGGGGAGUACGAUCGCAAGGUUGGAACUCAAAGGAAUUGACGGGGGCCUAUACAAGUGGUGGAGCAUGUGGUUUAAUGCGAUAAUACGCGCGAAACCUUACCAGUUCUUGACAUAAAAAAGAAAAAGUUUGAAAAAGCAAUUUUAAAGAUUUUUACAGGUGCUGCAUGGCUGUCGUAAGCUCGUGUCGUGAGAUGUUAGGUUAACUCCUUUUAACGGGCGAAACCCCUUUUUUUCGUUGCUACUUAAUUUUAUUUUUAAAGCACUCUAAAAAAACUGCUCCCUUUUUUUAAUUCGGAGAGGAAGGUGGGGAUGACGUCAAGUCCUUAUGGCCCUUAUGAACUGGGCUACACACGUGCUACAAUGGUAAAGACAAUAAGAAGUGAUAGGGUAACCUAAAACCAAUCUUUAAACUUUAUCAAAGUUCGGAUUGUGGACUGCAACUCGUCCAUAUGAAGGUGGAAUCACUAGUAAUCGCACAUCAGCAUGUUGCGGUGAAUUUGUACCUAGGCCUUGUACACACCGCCCGUCACGUGCCGGGAGUCGGC